rnacentral:rRNA from 1 species
UACGGAGGGUGCGAGCGUUGUCCGGAAUCACUGGGCGUAAAGGGCGCGUAGGCGGCCUGAUAAGUAGGGGGUGAAAUCCUGCGGCUUAACCGCAGGGCUGCCUUCUAAACUGUCAGGCUCGAGCACAGUAGAGGCAGGUGGAAUUCCCGGUGUAGCGGUGGAAUGCGUAGAGAUCGGGAGGAACACCUAUAGCGAAGGCAGCUUGCUGGGACGUUACUGACGCUAAGGCGCGAAAGCGUGGGGAGCGAACAGG